GAUGAACGCUGGCGGCGUGCCUAAUACAUGCAAGUCGAGCGAGACUCUUCGGAGUCUAGCGGCGGACGGGUGAGUAACACGUGGGCAACCUGCCUGUAAGACUGGGAUAACACCGGGAAACCGGUGCUAAUACCGGAUAAUCCCUUCCCUCUCAUGAGGAAAAGCUGAAAGUCGGUUUCGGCUGACACUUACAGAUGGGCCCGCGGCGCAUUAGCUAGUUGGUGAGGUAACGGCUCACCAAGGCGACGAUGCGUAGCCGACCUGAGAGGGUGAUCGGCCACACUGGGACUGAGACACGGCCCAGACUCCUACGGGAGGCAGCAGUAGGGAAUCUUCCACAAUGGACGAAAGUCUGAUGGAGCAACGCCGCGUGAGCGAUGAAGGCCUUCGGGUCGUAAAGCUCUGUUGUUAGGGAAGAACAAGUACCGGAGUAACUGCCGGCACCUUGACGGUACCUAACCAGAAAGCCACGGCUAACUACGUGCCAGCCGCCGCGGUAACAC
rnacentral:rRNA from 1 species